CCCUGGUGGCUCAGAAGGUAAAGAAUCUGCCUGCAAUGCAGGAGAUCCAGGUUCGUUUCCUGGGUUGGGGA
rnacentral:tRNA from 1 species